GUGACUAGCAAUACUUGCUGGCCCUGGAAGUGGAAGGAGGAGCUCUCUCCCGGUAUCUGGAUAGAACUGGAUCUAUUCCUGAUUUUCUCAACUGUGUGCUCUCCCUGGAUUCCCGUGAUCAUGUCAUCAGACAGAAGGACUUAAGAGUUUGAGUGAAAGGCUUCAAGAAGUACAGGAAAAAAUGUGAAACUUCAAAUCAUGAAAGGACAUAAAGAUGCAAACAAUUGCAGCAGUAAAAUCCAAUGAGUCAGAGAGCAAUGAUGCCCUUUGCUAGUUUUCCAUGCUUUCUUUCAAACACAUACUCUCUCCCUACGUGUGGUCAUCUUCUUGUAAGGUAACACUGUGCUAUAUAAUUUUUAAAAGAAAGAUUUCUUUUAAAAUUGUCUUCUGAAUAAUGAAAGUAAAAAAGAAACAGUCUAAGGCUCAGCAAUGGUGGAUUUUUUUAAGUCUCAAAAGAACCCAAGGGAAAACCAAGAUUUAUUUACAUCAAAGGCAUCUCUUCACAAGAGGUCAGCUCUCUGUCCAGACAGAUCUCUCUUCCCAGGCUAGUAGUCUGGUAUUUGAGUAUAAUCUCCCCUAUAAUUGGAUAGAAAAACUGUGGGAACAGAUUUUUCAUGGGAAGUGCUGGAUAUAACUAAAGAAGAACCAAGUGAUUUCGCAGAUACUCAGAUUCUGAUAAGACCAGAAAAAUGUUCUCAGUAUUUUUCAGACCCAUCAGUAGAUAUGGUAUGUCAAAAUUUCAACAGGUGGUUGCUUGUAAACAUGAUCAACUUGCAUAAAAUAAUGAAGUAUGAUAAAAGACAAGAGAAAAUCUAUAUGACCACAACAAUGCAAAAGAGUACAAUACUAAAAGUCAGUACAACUGGUCAAACACAAUAACCAGUGUUAGUUUCAAAAUAUUGUAGUUGAAGUUUAUAAACUUCUUGCUAAUAAAUUACCAGAGUGGAAAAGGGUAUCUACCACUAAUUACAAUCACACUGAUUGAGUGGUUCCUGCUUACCUGUUUUUGGAGAAAUGUACUUGAAGGAUGGGUCAGAUGUUGAGAUGACUGUUGGAUAUAUUUGAUGAGUCAGAAUAUGAUUAUGGUUUUGUUUUCCAAAGAAGUUGUCAGUUCUAUGUUCUACAAACCUGCUUAUUACCAGUGGUGCAAACUCAGAUCAUUUUUAUCUAUGCAGUGAUAAAGUGUUGGUUCUGAAGAAAAAGUACUAGGCUAAGUACUGGGUUUGGUUCCCAGUUCUUCUACUGAAUGAUGGAGUGGCCUAAUGCAAGCCACUUUUCUCUGGGAAUCAUUGCUUACCUUGGAAAAUGAGGGACCAGAGCUAGAUAAAUCUUGUAGGACACAUCCAAUUCUGACAUGCUUUGUACUGGAUUCUACGGUUUCUUCUAUAUCUGACAUUCUAUAGGUUUAAGUUCUAUUUUACUGCUAAAAUUGUAUGUCCCAAUUUUCCUUCUGAUUCUCACAUUCUAUGUUUUAAGGACCUUUGAGCUUUUGUAUGCCAUGUGCUAAAGUCCUUUCAAGCUUCAAGUCUAAUUCUAAUUCAUUGUAAAUCUGGUCUAUUACUAUUACUAUGAUUAUGAGAGAUUAGUCAUCAAGCAGAUAAUCUAAUAACUGUUUUAAGGUUUCAAAGGUUUUAAGUUGUGUCCCUUAAGUGACUCUUGCUCCAUUAUGUUCAUCCUCAAGAUAUUAGACUGGUCUGAGUCCUGUUCCUGGAAUUACUCCUGUUUCUCUCUAGCUACCUCAUCUGGAUUCUAUCCAUCCGUCAGAGCUCAAUUCAAGGCAAAUAGAGUGGAGAGAGGAUUAGAAUUAGAAAAUCUGUGGUUCAAAUUCCAGCACUGCUAGCUAAAACCUGGCUAUGACCUUGGGUAUUAACAAAUAGCUGAAUUUUAUAUAAUGUUUUAAUGCUUGUAAAACACUUUACAUCUGUAACGUUAUCUGCCGCUCACAAUAAUCUUGUGAGGUAGAUGCCCUUAUUACCUUAGUUUUUAAAAUGAGGUAACUGAAGCUAAGAAUUGACUUUCCCAGCAUCAGUAACUGGCUGAGAUUUGAAUUCAAUUCUUCUUGAGCUCCAUCUAUUAUACCACCUAGCUGCCCUUUGACCUCUCUAGACUUUAUGCCUCUUUGUUUGGCCUUUCCUAGGCACUAAUCAAUUAUAUUCUGUCUUGUACUAAAUACUUCUUGGCCAACAUUUUAUAGAUGUGACAAAAUAGACAAGGAGUUAGUAGUUUACUGAUACCUUUUUGUCAUCUUUCCUUAUCUGGAAAUAAUACCAUAUGUGACUUUUUCUAAUCGGUGGGUCUCUUCCUUUUCAAAUAUUUUGAAUUUCGACUACAUCAAAUUAAAAAGCUUUUGUACAAACAAAACCAAUGUAACUAAAAUCAGAAGGGAAGCAACAAAUUGGGAAAAAAUCUUCAUAAAAACCUCUGACAAAGGUUUAAUUACUCAAAUUUACAAAGAGCUAAAUCAAUUGUACAAAAAAUCAAGCCAUUCUCUAAUUGAUAAAUGGGCAAGGGACAUGAAUAGGCAGUUUUCAGAUAAAGAAAUCAAAACUAUUAAUAAGCACAUGAAAAAGUGUUCUAAAUCUCUUAUAAUCAGAGAGAUGCAAAUCAAAACAACUCUGAGGUAUCACCUUACACCUAGCAGAUUGGUUAACAUGACAGCAAAGGAAAGUAAUGAAUGCUGGAGGGGAUGUGGCAAAGUAGGGACAUUAAUUCAUUGCUGGUGGAGUUGUGAAUUGAUCCAACCAUUCUGGAGAGCAAUUUGGAACUAUGCCCAAAGGGUGAUAAAAGACUGUCUGCCCUUUGAUCCAGCCAUAGCACUGCUGCAUUUGUACCCCAAAGAGAUAAUAAGGAAAAAGACUUGUACAAGAAUAUUCAUAGCUGCGCUCUUUGUGGUGGCCAAAAAUUGGAAAAUGAGGGGAUGCCCUUCAAUUGGAGAAUGGAUGAACAAAUUGUGGUAUAUGUUGGUGAUGAAAUACUAUUGUGCAAAAAGGAAUAAUAAAGUGAAGGAAUUUCAUGGAGACUGGAACAACCUCCAGGAAGUGAUGCAGAGUGAGAGGAGCAGAAGCAGGAGAACAUUGUACACAAAGACUGAUACACUGUGGUACAAUCGAACGUAAUAUACUUCUCCAUUAGUGUCAAUGUAAUGUCCCUGAGCAAUCUGCGGGGAUCUAGGGAAAAAAAACACUAUACACAAGCAGAGGACAAACUGUGGGAGUAAAAACACCGAUGAAAAGCAACUGCUUGACUACAGGGGUUGAGGGGACAUGUCUGAGGAGAGACUCUAAACGAACACUCUAAUGCAAAUGCCAACAACAUGGAAAUGGGUUCAAAUCAAGAACACAUGUGAUAGCCAGUGGAAUCACGCAUUGGCUAUGGGAGAGGUGGGGGGAGGGGAGGAAAAGAAAAUGAUCUUUGUCCCUAAUGAAUAAAGCUUGGGAAUGAUCAAAUAAAA